rnacentral:rRNA from 1 species
AACGAACGCUGGCGGCAGGCUUAACACAUGCAAGUCGAGCGCCCCGCAAGGGGAGCGGCAGACGGGCGAGUAACACGUGGGGAUCUGCCCAACGGUACGGUAUAGCCACGGGAAACUGGAAUUAAUACCGUAUGCGCCCGCAUGGGGAAAGAUUUAUCGCCAUUGGAUGAACCCGCGUCGGAUUAGCUAAUUGGUGUGGAAAAGGCGAAACAAGGCGUCGAUCCGUAGCCGGUCUGAGAGUAUGAUCAGCCACACUGGGACUGGGACACGGCCCAGACGCCUACGGGGGGCAGCAGUGGGGAAUAUUGGACAAUGGGCGCAAGCCUGAUCCAGCCAUGCCGCGUAAGUGAUGAAGGCCUUAGAGUUGUAAAGCUCUUUCGCCGACGAAGAUAAUGACGGUAGUAGGAGAAGAAGCCCCGGCUAACUUCGUGCCAGCAGCCGCCGUAA